AUUCGCUUUAUCACGGUGGCCUGGAACCGAACCUGCAAUAUCUCCAAGGGCCUUUGAGUGCUUCAACCAAGAGAAUACGGUAGAAGUGAUGGUGUGCCAAUUCCAGGUGUGGCUUUUACCUUGCCUGACUUCUGUUUCCUGCCUCUUGGAAGCCAGCCACUACAUAAGAAAUCCACCCUGAAACCACCAUGUUGUGAGAAGUCCAAGGUCAUAAAAAUAGGCCCUGGAGACAGAGACAUCAGGUAGAGAAGCCAAGGAGCACCAAGGAAACUGAAGAAGUGAAGUGUAAGUGAAGUCAUUUUGGAAAUGGACCUUCCAGCCCCAGCUUCCUUGGCUAUUGCUGUGUAAAUCAGGGGAAAUGCCCAGUGGAGCCCCUCCCAAUUUUUGACCCAAAAAUAUCAUGAGCAAAAUAAAAUGGUUUGUUUUAA